UCCUCUCAUGCGCGAGAGGGCUUGGGCUAUAGUCCCCACGCUAGCCCAAUGCGGAUUGGGGACUUCACAUACACCUUUGAAUUUCUUCGCAGAUGUAUGCAGGUUUCCUCACGAUGUUUUCCUUCACCGAAAAGCUAGUGGUAAAUAUCAAAUGAUAUUUCGUACAUAAAUAAGUUCCGAUAAACUCAUUGGUACGAGCCUGAAUUUGAACCCACGACCUCCGGAUUGAAAGUCGGACGUCAGAACCACUCGGCCACCACAGCUUC